GACGAACGCUGGCGGCGUGCUUAACACAUGCAAGUCGAACGGAAAGGCCCUGCUUUUGUGGGGUGCUCGAGUGGCGAACGGGUGAGUAACACGUGAGUAACCUGCCCUUGACUUUGGGAUAACUUCAGGAAACUGGGGCUAAUACCGGAUAGGAGCUCCUGCUGCAUGGGGGGGGUUGGAAAGUUUCGGCGGUUGGGGAUGGACUCGCGGCUUAUCAGCUUGUUGGUGGGGUAGUGGCUUACCAAGGCUUUGACGGGUAGCCAGCCUGAGAGGGUGACCGGCCACAUUGGGACUGAGAUACGGCCCAGACUCCUACGGGAGGCAGCAGUGGGGAAUAUUGCACAAUGGGCGGAAGCCUGAUGCAGCAACGCCGCGUGCGGGAUGACGGCCUUCGGGUUGUAAACCGCUUUCGCCUGUGACGAAGCGUGAGUGACGGUAAUGGGUAAAGAAGCACCGGCUAACUACGUG
rnacentral:rRNA from 1 species